UUAGUGACAAGGAGGGCUCGCUCUUGGGGCUAGUGGUGGGGAGGCAGUGGCCAGUUCAGGGCUCAGAUGAGAGAGGUGGCAGAAUUAGAGGCAGCCACUAGGAUGGGGGUGCGAGGAGAAGCGGGGCUAAGUAUAAAGGAGACUAGAUUUUGGGACAGUGGACGUGUGGAAGGCAGCUUCCAAAGCGCCUUUAACAAUCCACAAAGAACCAGCAGCUUUCAAGACCAGGCUAUCCCUGCUGUCUGCUGGCACUUGACGUCCAGGAGGGCACAAGUUUCACAGGCCUACAUGGGGGCAGUGUCCUAACUUGAGUGGCAGAGCAGCAGUUGAUGGAGACGGGUGGACUGGGGGCCCUUGAAGGCCCCGGAAAUCAUAGAGGACAGGCAGUGGGGCAGGACUAGGUGCGUAGUGGAGGUCGCCUUUGAUCUUGACAAAACCAGCAGACCCCUUUUUUUCCAGAUAAGGGGUUGUGAACCCACCUGGGGAUGAGGCCUGGUCUUAUGGAAGGUGGACUUAGCUUCGCUGGGCGGACAGCUCUGGCCCAGGGUGGUAUGUAAUUUGGGUGUGGCCUGUCUGCACCCACUUCGGGGUGCGAGGGGAGGCCGGAGGAGGCUGCAGAGACAAGUUGUUUUUACUGUCAGGUCUGCCAGGCGGGGACCAUGGAGAUUGAAGGCGCAAGUCUUGGGGCCACAUUAAUCACAACUUUAUUUUUCAGAUAGCAGUGCCCUCUCUGGACUUUGCCUAGGUUCCGUGCUUCCUCUUCUGUGGUCUCACUCUUCCCUACUCUUGCCCCUCACUCUGAGGUUAAGGGGUCACUUAAAACCUUGCCCCUGGGUCGUCCGGUAAGCCUGUGGAGGAUGUAGAGUCGGUGCUGGAGUCUUGGGCACGGCAUUUUGUGUUCACCAUGGCAAGCAGAUGGCACCAGGAGAUAUGGAGCCCCUGCCAGUGUGAGUCGUAGCAGUGCAGGAGGGCUCACCCUGGAGGAGACAGCGGCCUCGGUUGACGCCUACACAGUGAAUUCCAGAGGCUUAGGAAGCGCGUCCCUGCCCUGGGUCCAGGCCUUUCUCAGGAAGCCCUGUGCUCAGGAGGCCAUCGUUGAAGUCAGCUUGUAGGGGGUGGGCAGGUGCUUCCAGCCGGAGGGGCCGUCGGCUGUGAAUGUUCCAGAUGAAUGUCUUGUUCUGGGAGCAUCAUUCUUUGCGGAUGCAUGAAUGGCAGCAGGCACCCUUUUUCAUGGGGGUAGAGGCGUUCGACUGCUGCAUCUUCUAAACAAGCCUCCAUCCAGCCUUUGUAGUUCUGUGCUGCGAACUUGGCCUCGAGAAGAUUGCGUAAGGUGUAGGACACUUUAACGUCUGCGCAGCGUGCUGCACUGUAGAUCGGGACCCCAGUGACCUCGCCCACCUUCCCUGCUUCUGCAGCCUGCCUGCCUCUGCAUUGGUCAGAGGGAUUCUUAACUGAAAACUUGUGGGUGUUGGGGAAAGCUGUUGGGUUGUAAAUGACUGGUGUGGAGGAAUCUUCCUUAGAUGGAGCUGGUUGUAAAAUGGGUAGGGUUUGUGGUUUAACAGUGGGAAGGCGCAAGUUAGCCACAAAUUCUGCCGACUUGGUAGAUGCCGUAUCUAAUUUGGGCUUUGGGACGUCUUCUGGACUAAAAGGGAUCCGUGGGCCCGAAGUGGUCCCUGGGAAUGGUCUCUCCCAGGGUGUGGAUUUGAUACUGGGUGGUUGAGUGGCAACAGUGGUUCUGGCCCCUUUUGUUCAUUAGCUUUUAUGACUUAGGGCCUGGCUGUGUAUACCAGGCUGGCCUGGGUUCACAGCCCUGCUCAGAUGACAGUGUCCUGAAACAAUGGCCUUCCAAGGUGAAACCUGAGUUAUGGAUCAAGCUUGGGAAUAAUACUUUUGGCACCAGAUAUGGGACUUGUGGGAGAAAGCAGGGCUCAGCUUGGCAUUGGUGGGUUGAAGGAGUCGGGGUGCGGGUGAGGAUUGUGCCUGGAACCGUGGGUUGAUGGGAAUAACAGUUUGGGAACUAAAUAGUUCACAUGAAAAUCUAAAGGCUGAUGGUAAAUCCCUGCAGGUGGCACUACUUUGAGAUGCAGUUGCUUGGAAAAUACCAAAAUCCUACAAGGGGAAGAGCAAAAUUGUUUUGCUUCACUGUUGAAUGGGGAAGGGUGACAUUGAAAAGCUUUUCUUAGUUGCUCAAUAGAUGGUUGUCACUACCCUGACCUAGGCAGGCCACAGGGGUGGAGCCUGGUGGGGGGAAGCUGAUUGCCAAGAAGUGAAGCUGGGGAGGGGCUUGUAAACGCCUCCCGUUGUGGGCUCUGAAACCAUAGUAUGGGGAGGUUGGCAGACUCUUCUGGGUCUCUAUUGAAAUUCUGUCAUACUGUGUGAUUAAGAAUUCCAAUGCUGCUAUCUAAAGGAAUUUCAUAUGGGAGUCAUGCCUUAUACAACACAUACAGGAAUUUAAUGUGUGAGCCAUGCCUUCAAAACACAUCUUGAAUUUCUGGAAUUGGCCAGAAGACAACAGGGUUUGCUUAUUUAACCUUUCAAAUCAGUCAUUGUGACAAGGGGACAGGGUCUUGCGCUUGCUAUGAGAUCAUUGUGAUGCUUGUAGAAACCUCAUGAGUGCUUUGCCACUGAAUACAUCCAUUGUGGGUUUGGCUUGAAUGGUGCUUAAAAACCAUCCCUGAGCAGAGGGGAAGCUGUUAAACUGUCAGUCAAAGCAGUUUGGGAAAUAAAAGAGACUGGGCCCUGGGUCAUCUUACUAGAUAACACUUUGUAAAAAUUGGUUCUGAAAACCCUGUUUAUUUGCAUAUUUGUGAAAACCCUGUAUAUGUGGUUGUUUUGUGAGUGUGCUUAAAAGUGGUGUGACCAGGGCAAGAUCGCUCAUUGGAACAGCUGUGUGGAAUGGGGAAAUGUGAAGAAAGCUGUAACUGCAGGUUGGUCGCACACGCUUCUCUGUACUAAAGUGUUCAGUGUACAAACCCACUAACCAUUUUCCUCCCCUUUACAGCAAAAUAAAGGUUUGAGAUUGAAGCUUCUUAGAAUU
rnacentral:lncRNA from 1 species